rnacentral:rRNA from 1 species
UACGAAGGGGGCUAGCGUUGUUCGGAAUUAUUGGGCGUAAAGAGCGUGUAGGCGGUCCGGUAAGUCAGCUGUGAAAGUCAAGGGCUCAACCCUUGAAUGCCGGUUGAUACUGUCGGGCUAGAGUCCGGAAGAGGCGAGUGGAAUUCCCGGUGUAGCGGUGAAAUGCGCAGAUAUCGGGAGGAACACCAAUGGCGAAGGCAGCUCGCUGGGACGGUACUGACGCUGAGACGCGAAAGCGUGGGGAGCAAACAGG